UACGGGGGGGGCAAGCGUUGUUCGGAAUUACUGGGCGUAAAGGGCUCGUAGGCGGCCAACUAAGUCAGACGUGAAAUCCCUCGGCUUAACCGGGGAACUGCAUCUGAUACUGGAUGGCUUGAGAUUGGGAGAGGGAUGCGGAAUUCCAGGUGUAGCGGUGAAAUGCGUAGAUAUCUGGAGGAACACCGGUGGCGAAGGCGGCAUCCUGGACCGACAUUGACGCUGAGGCGCGAAAGCCAGGGGAGCAAACGGG
rnacentral:rRNA from 1 species